rnacentral:rRNA from 1 species
GACGAACGCUGGCGGCGUGCCUAACACAUGCAAGUCGAACGGAGUUUCCAUUUAUGGAUUCUUAGUGGCGAACGGGUGAGUAACGCGUAGACAACCUACCUUCUAGAUGGGGACAACACUGCGAAAGUGGUGCUAAUACCGAAUGUUGUAUCGAAGUUGCAUAGCUUUGCUACUAAAGAUGGCCUCUAUUUAUAAGCUAUCGCUAGAAGAUGGGUCUGCGUCUGAUUAGCUAGUUGGUGAGGUAAUGGCUCACCAAGGCGACGAUCAGUAGCCGGUCUGAGAGGAUGAACGGCCACAUUGGGACUGAGACACGGCCCAAACUCCUACGGGAGGCAGCAGUGGGGAAUCUUCCGCAAUGGACGAAAGUCUGACGGAGCAACGCCGCGUGAGUGAAGAAGGUUUUCGGAUCGUAAAACUCUGUUUUCAGGGACGAAUGUGCGCAGUGUAAAUAAUGCUGUGUAAUGACGGUACCUGAGUAGAAAGCCACGGCUAACUACGUGCCAGCCGCCGCAGUAAAAC